rnacentral:lncRNA from 1 species
GUACUCGGCUUCCUCAUCCCAUAAUAAGUAUGAGGUUAGUACUUUCAAACACUUGAUCACGAACACCACCACUGUCGGGCCUUAACAAGUUCCAUAGACAGACGGGGCGAUCAGCCGACCACCAAAGAGUUAACCAAAACCCUGCCCCGUCCAUCGUCCUUAUAGUUGUAACAGAAAGGAAACAGCCAACUCCUACAACUCGCGAGUGAC